CAAAGGAUCAGUGUUGUGGAGAACAGAUAGGAAGUUUUUCGGUGGCUUUCAGUGACGGGAGCACGUGUGAGUUGUGUCCGUCAAGAACUGAGUUGCACCUCUGCGACGUAGAUUGCGCUUGCGCAGGAAGCAGACAAGCUAGAAACCAAGUAAAUUAUUUCUACGUCAGAGCUCCGGAGGAAUAUAUUAAUGGAUCUCAAACUGCUUGGUUGGGAGUCACAGGAAUAUAUUUCUCCAUUGACGAGAAUAUCGAUGGUGAAGUUGAUGCAAGAGAAGGGAUAGUCUCUCUGAUCAGCCUUCCUGGAGGAUGCGCAGAGCAAAACAUGAUGAG